UCUGUGAACUCCUACGGGAGGCAGCAGUGGGGAAUAUUGGACAAUGGGCGCAAGCCUGAUCCAGCCAUGCCGCGUGAGUGAUGAAGGCCUUAGGGUUGUAAAGCUCUUUCAGUAGGGAAGAUAAUGACGGUACCUACAGAAGAAGCCCCGGCUAACUUCGUGCCAGCAGCCGCGGUAAUACGAAGGGGGCUAGCGUUGUUCGGAUUUACUGGGCGUAAAGCGCACGUAGGCGGUUUGUUAUGUCAGAGGUGAAAUCCCGGAGCUCAACUCCGGAACUGCCUUUGAUACUGGCAAGCUAGAGUCCGGAAGAGGUAAGUGGAACUCCUAGUGUAGAGGUGGAAUUCGUAGAUAUUAGGAAGAACACCAGUGGCGAAGGCGGCUUACUGGUCCGGAACUGACGCUGAGGUGCGAAAGCGUGGGGAGCAAACAGGAUUAGAAACCCCGGUAGUCCAUCAGCG
rnacentral:rRNA from 1 species